rnacentral:rRNA from 1 species
GCGAAUCGGGUGAGUAAUACAUCGCGAACGUGCCCUGUCGUGGGGGAUAACUAGUCGAAAGAUUAGCUAAUACCGCAUACGACCUGAGGGUGAAAGCGGGGGACCGUAAGGCCUCGCGCGAUAGGAGCGGCCGAUGUCUGAUUAUCUAGUUGGUGGGGUAAGAGCCCACCAAGGCGACGAUCAGUAGCUGGUCUGAGAGGACGAUCACCCACACUGGGACUGAGACACGGCCCACACUCCUACGGGAGGCAGCAGUGGGGAAUUUUGGACAAUGGGGGCAACCCUGAUCCAGCAAUGCCGCGUGUGUGAAGAAGGCCUUCGGGUUGUAAAGCACUUUUGUCCGGAAAGAAAUCGCGCUGGUUAAUACCUGGCGUGGAUGACGGUACCGGAAGAAUAAGCACCGGCUAACUACGUGCCAGCAGCCGCGGUAAUACGAUACCNGGGAACGUUAGUGGGAAUUACUGGGCGUAAAGCGUGCGCAGGCGGUUUGAUAAGACAGGCGUGAAAUCCCCGAGCUCAACUUGGGAAUGGCGCUUGUGACUGUCAGGCUAGAGUAUGUCAGAGGGGGGGUAGAAUUCCACGUGUAGCAGUGAAAUGCGUAGAGAUGUGGAGGAAUACCGAUGGCGAAGGCAGCCCCCCUGGGACGUCACUGACGCUCAUGCACGAAAGCGUGGGGAGCAAACAGGAUUAGAUACCCUGGUAGUCCACGCCCUAAACGAUGUCAACUAGUUGUUGGGGAUUCAUUUCUUCAGUAACGUAGCUAACGCGUGAAGUUGACCGCCUGGGGAGUACGGUCGCAAGAUUAAAACUCAAAGGAAUUGACGGGGACCCGCACAAGCGGUGGAUGAUGUGGAUUAAUUCGAUGCAACGCGAAAAACCUUACCUACCCUUGACAUGCCACUAACGAAGCAGAGAUGCAUCAGGUGCCCGAAAGGGAAAGUGGACACAGGUGCUGCAUGGCUGUCGUCAGCUCGUGUCGUGAGAUGUUGGGUUAAGUCCCGCAACGAGCGCAACCCUUGUCUCUAGUUGCUACGCAAGAGCACUCUAGAGAGACUGCCGGUGACAAACCGGAGGAAGGUGGGGAUGACGUCAAGUCCUCAUGGCCCUUAUGGGUAGGGCUUCACACGUCAUACAAUGGUGCGUACAGAGGGUUGCCAACCCGCGAGGGGGAGCUAAUCCCAGAAAACGCAUCGUAGUCCGGAUCGUAGGUCUGCACUCGACUACGUGAAGCUGAAAUCGCUAGUAAUCGCGGAUC